AACGAACGCUGGCGGCGUGCCUAACACAUGCAAGUCGAACGAGAAGUACGUAGCAAUACGUAUUGUAAAGUGGCGCACGGGUGAGUAACACGUGGGUAAUCUGCCCUUGAGUUUGGGAUAACCCCGCGAAAGCGGGGCUAAUACCGAAUAAGACCACGGGGACCAAAGUCCCUGAGGUAAAAGACGGCCUCUAUUUAUAAGCUGUCACUUGAGGAUGAGCCCGGGGCCCAUUAGCUAGUUGGCAGGGUAACGGCCUACCUAGGCGACGAUGGUUAGCGGGUCUGAGAGGAUGAUCCGCCACACUGGAACUGGAACACGGACCAGACUCCUACGGGAGGCAGCAGUGAGGAAUAUUGCGCAAUGGGGGAAACCCUGACGCAGCGACGCCGCGUGGGUGAAGAAGGCCUUCGGGUUGUAAAGCCCUGUCAGGUGGGAAGAAGUGUACCAUGGCUAAUAUCCAUGGUAUUUGACGGUACCACCAAAGGAAGCACCGGCUAACUCCGUGCCAGCCGCCGCGGUAAAAC
rnacentral:rRNA from 1 species